rnacentral:rRNA from 1 species
GAUGAACGCUAGCUACAGGCUUAACACAUGCAAGUCGAGGGGAAACGACAUCGAAAGCUUGCUUUCGAUGGGCGUCGACCGGCGCACGGGUGAGUAACGCGUAUCCAACCUGCCCACCACUUGGGGAUAACCUUGCGAAAGUAAGACUAAUACCCAAUGAUAUCUCUAGAAGACAUCUGAAAGAGAUUAAAGAUUUAUCGGUGAUGGAUGGGGAUGCGUCUGAUUAGCAUGUUGGCGGGGUAACGGCCCACCAAGGCUACGAUCAGUAGGGGUUCUGAGAGGAAGGUCCCCCACAUUGGAACUGAGACACGGUCCAAACUCCUACGGGAGGCAGCAGUGAGGAAUAUUGGUCAAUGGGCGAGAGCCUGAACCAGCCAAGUAGCGUGCAGGAUGACGGCCCUAUGGGUUGUAAACUGCUUUUAUAAGGGAAUAAAGUGAGCCUCGUGAGGCUUUUUGCAUGUACCUUAUGAAUAAGGACCGGCUAAUUCCGUGCCAGCCGCCGCGGUAA